GGAAAUCUUUGUCGCCAAUUAGAUAAAACUAAAUCGGAUGAAAAAAAGAAAACAUUAAAAAAGUGUUUAAAGCAAUAAUCACUCUUCAUAAAAUUACUAAAAAUGGCAGCAAUAACUUAAUUGCAAUUUACAUGAAAAUUAUCUAAGACAUUAUAUAGGAAAAAAAAUCAUUUUGCAAAUUCUAGCAGCAGCUCAUAAGUUACAAUAGGCAGUUAGGCACCCU
rnacentral:misc_RNA from 1 species